GGCCUGCACCCACUGGUCGUAACGCUUGGCGUCCCUUCUCCUGGUGGAUGGUGGUUUACUUUUCAGGGCCGGCUUGGCUUUACUGGAGGGUACCUCUAGUUCCUUAGCCUUGGUCCACGUCAGCUGUACUGUCACCUGGUCAGUACUUGCCGAGAACUUCCAGGCAGGUUCUUUACCAGUCAACUUCAUGGCUGCUAACAAAGCAUUC
rnacentral:lncRNA from 1 species